rnacentral:sRNA from 1 species
GUGCGCCUGUGUAUGUGUAUGAUAUAGUUUUUAGUAUAUGUACUUGUUAGUUUGUAUGCACACAUGCAUGAGGAUGCUGGUGCACAUAUGUUGCACAUGCAUGUGGAGCUCCACUUUGCCCGUCCGUUCUCCACAGUUCUCCAGUGUUAAUAUUUGAGACAGCGUCUCUGGUUGAACCUGUAGGCCAAUGACUGGGCUAGUCCAGCUGACUGACUAAAGAGCUUCAAGAACCCAAGUGUCUCUGCUACUCUCUCUCCCUGCGCUGGGGUUACAGGCAGGAACCCCUCCCUGUGCUGAGCCCUUCACCUGGGUUCUAGGGAUUGGAACUCAACUCCUCGUGCUUUCAGGGUAGGUACUUCGCCGGCUGAGCCAUCUCCCCAGCCGGUACAUCUGAUUUUAAGUGACCUUUAUCAGGAUCCAGCUUCUGCCUGUUCUACCAAAGCUGUCCUCAGACAGGCUACACCACUCCAAGUUCACAGCCAGCCGAAAUGAGUAUCUUUGUUCUAGGACAUCUGAGGGUGGCUCUGCUGGCUCUGGGUGCUCCCCUGCCUACUCCUGAGUUCACUGCCUUGGUGAAUGUCACCUGCUGUAGCUCAGGUUGUCGAUUCCCGAGUCAAGAGUGGAUGUAGCCCCCUGAGUGGUCUGUGACCCCCAGACGGGAAGGCAGGGCGCGCUUACCAGUUAAUGAACGCUGAACAGCUGAAAGGGGAAAUGUCCACUUUUCUGGUCAAACCCAGGGUCUAAUUCCACACACAUUAGAAGUCCUUAGAAGACCACUGUCUUCCCCGGCUGCUCUUGCUCCUGCCAUCUAGCUGUCUUGGCAAGGGUAGGAGCUUGGGAGAAGGAGGUAGGAGCCAUUGUUCCCCCAGGUGCCCUUUGUUCUUGUUGCCACAGGAUCGAGCAUCCUGACCCCUCUGUGUGCCACUGUGAUUCUGGAAAAGACACUCUUCCACUCGGAGUCACAGUUUCCUCUGCUGCAGAUACGGUUCGUGAUGUCCAUGCAACCUCUCUCAGGAGACAGGAAGUGGGUAGUGGGUGGCAGGACCAGAGACUCGUGUCUCCUCUUUUUUUUCUUUUUUUUUUUUUAAAGAGGUCCUUUAUUGAAAGGGGGGAGGAAGCCAGGAAGAGAACGCUUGGGUCUCCUCCUUAAGGCUGGGGCAGCUCUGAAGAAGCCACACAGAGUAAGGUUUUGUUUGUUUUGAACACUUUCGGUGCUGGCCCAGAACGCUUAAAGGAAAUGCUUUAAACGUGUUGGCAAUCUGUGCUCUGAGUGAGACCACGGCCUCUGAGCCCAGACAGAUCAGUCCAAGCUCUGGCCCUGCCCCAAGUGUUUGUGUGUUUAACUUCUCAAGGGUUUCCACUGAGGGGAACAAAAGCCCAGAAGUUUCCCCGAAGUCCUUUGGCUUAAUCCUCCCAAGAGUCAUUGAAGCCUCUCAAGAUUGAUCCAGAAAGUGGAGGACACUUCAAGACUCUGCUUUUCAUAUUUGUCUGUUCCUCUUCAACAAACCCACUUGAGGUUUUUGUUGUUGUUUUUUUUUUUUUUUCUUUUUAUGCCCCAGUGACAACAUAACACUGAAGUUCAAGAAUUAUGUCUAGGGUCACAGUGGCAGGAAGUGGCUGAACAGGGAGGCAUCUUUCAAGAAUCUUCUCUCCAUGCACAGAGAGAAAGAAAGAGCUAAGACUGCAACGGGCUCUCAGGCUGAGAAACCGGAAAGAACGGGUUUUGACAGCAUUCGACAGGAAGAUGGCAAGGUUUAAGCAAAGGGUGCAAACCACAGGCUGGAAGCUCCAGAUGCCUUGAUGACGUCACGCCCAUGGAGCCGGCCCUGUGCCUGACUUGAUGUUCAGCUGGAUUGAAAGUUGGAGCACAAAGGAACAGACAGUUUUAAGGGAACCAGCAGAUAAAUUUGUAUUUCUGGUUGGGUAAGAAGGAUGAAGACUUAACAAAAAUCAAACUACUGGUUUUUGUGGAUGAAAGUCCCUGGAAAGGAGAUAGAUGUACCCGCCUGACCACAGCAGGGAUCUCAGUAUCUGAGGUUCUAAUGUUCAGUAUCUAAUGUUCCAGGUCCUGAGCCAAAUUACUUUGGGCCAAUCAUUAGCCUCCUUAACAGCCACCGAUCGCCUUCUGUAUGCGCCCUAACAGCUCUGUGGCCCUUAGCUUCCUGCUCUCUCAGAACACGAUGUUUGUAAAACAAACAAUCACAAAACAAAACGAAACAAAACGAAACAGAGAACUCUGUUCCCAAGCCAUGGCCAUCCCUACUGGCUCCAGAACUCUGAUCCCCUUCGAGAAACGGAACUUCGUGAACGCGUGUGGCGAGAGCAUUAAAUAGACACCAGCUCUCCUGUGUUCUGCACUCACUUCCCAGGGAAGCCAUACACCUAAUAAACUGCCCAGCCAGAGCUGGCUUGCACUGCUGAUAGCCUCAGCAGGCACUGACCUUGGCACCGUGACAAGGGCAACAUUUCCAAGUGGAUGAGCGCCUCCUGAACAAAGUGUCCAAUGUACCAGGAAUAAACAGGCCUUUCAUCAACCGAGCCUGCGUGUUUUCUGGUUCCAACAGCCUUCCCCACUGCCGGGGUCAGAAAGCAGGGACAUCAACCAGCAGGGCCUCUUGGACAACCUGCUAGUCUUGCUCAUUCCUCCCAGAGGAUUCUGGGACUGAAUAGACUUGCAGGCCUCUGCCAUCACCUGUCAUGGCUGCAGUACAACUAUUUUAAACUUACGUUUGACCAGCUUAGGAAUGAACAAGACUCAGACUGUGGUUAUUUUAUUUGACUUUGACAAUUAUUGGGGGGUGACCCCUAAUCUACUUUUCUAACUGCUGGCCUGGCUACCUCCCCAGCGGUGUACCCCAAAUGCUUGCCGUUUCUCCUGGCCGUGUGCUCACGGUCCAUCUCCUCUCAUGGCGGCUUCCUCUCUCCUCCUCAUUUUCUCCUCCCCUCCACGCUCAACCAGGUAACUCAAAAACCCACCUCCCUCCAACCCCUACCCCCAGAAAUUGUCCGUAGUCAUUUUUAUUUAACCAAUAGUUUUAAAUUAAGGAACAGGGUUUGCACAACAACCGCUGGUAAAUUUGAGAAUUGCCUCGUAGGCUUAGACGUACGAAUUUAGUAUCCAAUACAUAGCGGCUCACCAAACUUCAACGCGAGGUUCCAUGAUUUCCCUUCUCCAUUUCUGCAAGAGUAGAACCGGAAAAGUGCGUUCCUUUACGCCUUGGUAAGAUCUGAGCAGGGGCAUUAGCUCCCCCUGUGGUGCAAAAGGGGAGUCUUGGGGCCACAUUCGCAAAACUCUGUACAGCAGCCCCAAAUAGGACAUCACAUCGUCAAGCACUGGCAGGGCCAACUUUUGAAAGGGACAGGUCACUAAGUCAGCCCCAAGGAGAGCAUGCACAGGCUUAGAGGAUAAGCUCCUGGA